UCCCAUUUCAGAUGGUUGUGAGCCACCAUGUGCUUGCUGGGAAUUGAACAUUGGACCUCAGGAAGAGCAGCCAGUACUUUGAAUCACUGAGGAUCGCACUUGGGAGUUGCAGUCAGCAUUUCGCUCCAGAGGUGGGCAGCCUCAGUCCUGGGCCUGUCAUGGCAUUCUUUCAAUUUGGGAAACACUGGAAACAGCUUUCGAGCAGAGGGGAGGGAGACGACAUCAAAGAUCCUGUUUGAAGAUACCAGUACUGCCUCAUGUGUUCUCUCUUGCCAUCCCCCUCUCCCUCCUUUGAUAUGGGAUAUAUCAAAUACUACUUCAUAUGUUGGUGGGUAUGUGAAAAGUUUUCAGGAUCCCCCUAUCUGUGCCCUGGAAUUUCAGAUUGCACUAGUUAGUGUACCUGGAUUUACUGAGCUCUGCAUAUCUAGAUCCAGGUCCUCAUGUGUGUAACAACUACUGUGUCCCUUCACCAAACCAUCUCCCUAGUCCAUCCAAAAGGUCAUUGUUUGUAUUUUAGUGUAUGAUGUAUGUAUGUGGGGAGUGUGCUGGCUAGUUUUAUGUAUUCAUGGCACAAACUAGAGUCCUGGAGAAGAGGGA